rnacentral:rRNA from 1 species
GAUGAACGCUAGCGGCAGGCCUAACACAUGCAAGUCGAGGGAUAGGUUACCUUCUGGUAACCAAAACCGGCGCACGGGUGCGUAACGCGUAUACAAUAUGCCUUCCACAUAGGGAUAGCCCGAAGAGAUUUGGAUUAUUAUCUCAUGGUAUAUAAGAGCGGCCUCGUUUUUAUAUUAAAGCUACGGUGGGGAAAGAUGGGUAUGCGUUCUAUUAGCUAGUUGGAGAGGUAACGGCUCCCCAAGGGGACGAUAGAGAGGGGUGCGGAGAGGGAUGUCCCCCAGACGGGGACUGAGAAACCGACCAGAGUCAUACGGGAGGGAGCAGUGAGGAAUACUGGAGAAUGGUAGGAAGACUGAUCCAGCCAUGCCGCGUGCAGGAUGAAGGUGCUAGGGAUUAUAAACUGCGUGUGGAAGGGAAGAUUAAGGAGUACGUGUACGUUGAUGACGGUACCUGAAGAAGAAGCAUCGGCUAACUCCGUG